rnacentral:tRNA from 2 species
CAGAAUAUAAUUUAAUUAAAAAUAUAAACUUUGGAAGUUUAAAUUGGUAAAUACCUUUUCUGA